GCCAUGGCUCCUGAAAGAAAUAAAAGAUGAUCAUCUUUCUAAAAAGUCGUAAGUCUGAAUUAUUAGUAACUUAACUGGAGAAUCUCACUUUUCCUACUCUCGUAUUUUAACCACAGUUGCUCUAACACAGACCUUUGAGGAUCUUUUCAUGACUUCAUUCACAAAUACCUAUUUAUGCUGUACAGAUGCUACUAGGAAGGAAAUAGGGAUGUCUGUUUUGACUGUGGAACUUAACUUGGUCUCGUCUCUUUGUGCAUGCAACCCUGUCCUUGGGAUAGCUUUCUUGAGCAUAUCUACUUAUGUUCAAGAGGUAAAUUGUCCUGAAACCCCCAUUGCUGUAAGUAUUUACUUUAUUACUCAUAAUACUUAAUGCUCUUAAAAGUUGGGGUAUUUUUUUUUGGAUACCUAAACUUCAUUGAGAUACUUUGAACUAUUUAUAGAGAAAACGGAACCUUCUGAUACCUGGCUUCUAUUUCUUAAAAUGUUAUGAUCAUACAUGGCUUAGGGCUUUAUGGCCAAAUAACUUCACUGAACCCAGGAAAAAGAAUAGAUCCAUCUGAAACAGACCUGUAGCUUCCAGCGGCCUAAAUUUUCGGCUCCAUUUGUAUCCUUCAUUUUCUGUGAGGAAAAGAAGUGGAAGGAGACAAGCCUCAGCCCUUCCCCUGGCACCUUUACUCUUUACCCUUCCUCCUGGCAUGGUGGAAAGUGCACUGGAGGAGGAGUGAAGGGCCCUAGGUUUGCAUCCAUGUUCUGCCACUUGCCAACCUUAAUGGCCCUUACAGUUGAUUUACCCUCAUGAAAUUUGGAAUGAUUUCUAAAGUCUUUCCUCGCCCUGAAUGUUAACAUUUUCUGACAGUCAGGACUUUCUGUAGCUUCACCUUCCUUAUUUAGUGUUAUUUUUUUCUCAAGACUGAACAGAGAAGGAAGCUGUCAAAGUGUGCUGGGCACACACCCUGCAGUGGGGCAAUGGCCAAUUCUAAUCUCAAGUCAUUAGGCUGCAGUAGCAUGAUCACUGCUUCCUGUCUACCCUCAGAGGGUAGAGACAGCUGAGCUCCUGUAGUUGGGGUCAGGCCCAGCCACUCUGUGGGGACAGUGAUUAGUGUUGUGUCACCAAUUCAGGGAAGGAGCCACCUUGUCUAAUUUUCCCUCUUGAAUUAUCUUGAUAUGACCCCAUUAUAAAUUUCCUUUUGUAAACCUCUGUCUCCCAAUUUCUCCUUUUAGCUUACUUUCUAUUGAAGUAGAGGAACAGAGAAUACAACUUCCAUCCUCUUUCAUCAGCCCUGAGAGCAGAACGCAAGCCCUGUUACUGGGAACUAUAUCCUUGGCUCCCUGGAUGUGGCUAUUAACUUCUGGCCUGCCACUCUAUCACAUACACAUAUGGAGAUGGUGUCAUCCAUGUCCCUUACCCCGUAUUUACAACUUCUAUCACCCAACAGUGCCAAUGACCCUGAUGGUCCCUCUGGGAGGGAGAGAAGAGUAAGCUGGAGUCACCCCUUCCCUGUACUUCCCACCUCGCCAGGCCUGUUGGUGUUAGUGUCCCUUCUGAUCUUGGCCUGACCCCUGUCCCCUGGGCACUGGGCUGCAGGUUGGAGAGGCAGCAUGAUGGAGUGGGGAUAACACAUACUCCAAAACCAAACAGAAGCCAGACCUGGGUUGGGUCCUGGCGAAACAGUCUAGAGGCUUGGUGACCUUAACCUCCUAAUUAAUCUUCCUAAGCAUAAGUUUCCUUAUCAUAAGUUAUGUAUGAUAAAAUUUUCCUUGGAUGCAUUCAUUUUAGCAUGACUUGAAAUUAUGUGUGAAGGAACCUGGCCCACGGAAGUUGCCCUGUAAAUUCAGAUUCACUUUCCCUUGGACAUAUGGAUGACAUUAGCUCAUUACAGUUAUGACCUCCCUAAAACUCCCAAAUAUUCUUUAAGUUCUUCUCUUAUUUUCCCUUUAGUUUGUUUGUAGUCAUAUUUCUUAGUUCUUAUAUCAGGUGGGAUUCCCACAUCUUCUAGUUGGACAAUAUUGGAGAAGACACCACAUUUUAACUGAGUUCCAGUGAUAUGACAGGCUUUCAAUUCUCUAAUCUCACAGAAGUUAGAAAAAAAGUAGAUAAUCAAAAUCCACAGAAAAUACAGAAGAUUCCAUUAACUCUGAGAAUGAUUCUCAGGUAUCCUUAGGACCUCAAGAAAGCUGUUCUCUCCUGGGCCUGUAGAGAGUUCAAGUGCCAGGAAUCUACCACAAAGUAGGGGGGAGGUGCAGGGCAGCGGGGGGCACAGUGAAGUGCUGAAGGGCUUCUCAGCCUUCUUUAAUUAGAGUGAGAAGAAAAGAGCACCUCCUCAUUUUAGAGUACAAGGUGUGAACUCACUCUCAGCUGCCAAGUGAGCUUCACCUUGGGCUGUUUUGCAUGCUUUCUCCUAGUGCUUUAAGCCACCCUGAGAUGUACAGACCAAUACUGGCCAUCACAAAAAUAUACUCGAGUACAUAGACCAUUGACACUAUAAAGCAAGUAAACAAUGAAGUCUACAUAACAGCCAAAUAACAACAUGAUGAUAGGAUCAAAUCUGCACAUAUCAAUAUUAACCUUGAAUGUAAAUGAGCUAAAUGCCUCAAAUAAUAGGCAGAGAGUGGCAAGUUGGACAGAGAAGCAAGACCCAACUGUAUGUUUUCAAGAGACCCAUCUCAUAUGCAGGGACACCAAUAGCCUCAAAGUAAGGGAUGGAGAAAGAUCUAUCAAGCAAAUGGAAAACAAAAAACAGCACUCUCUGUCCAACAAAAACAGAAUAUACAUUCUUUUCAGCUGCACAUGGUACAUACUCUUAAAAUUGACCACAAUUGCUUUAUUGGCCAGAAAGCAAUUCUCAACAAAUUCAAGAAACCUGAAAUACCAGCCAGGUGUAGUGGCUCACACCUGUAAUCCCAACACUUUGGAAGGCUGAGGUGGGCAAAUCACUUGAGGUCAAAAGUUUGAGACCAGCCUGGCCAACAUGGCGAAAACCCGUCUCUACUAAAAAAUAUAAAAAUUAGCCGUGCAUGGUGGCAUGCGCCUGUAAUCCCAGCUACUUCGGAGGUUGAGUCACGAGAAUUGCUUGAACCUGGGAGGAGGAGGUUGCAGUGAGCUGAGAUCACGCCAUUGCACUCCAGUCUGGUUGACAGAGUGAGACUCAUCUCAAAAAAACAAAAAAAAACCCUGAAAUACCAACCACACUCUUGGACCACAGUGCCAUAAAAAUAAAUACCAGGAAGAUCUCUCAAAACCAUAUAAUUAAGUGGAAAUUAAUCUACUCCUGAAUGACUUGGGUAAACAAAGAGAAAUUAAGGCAGAAAUCAAGAAAUUGUUUACAACUAAUGAAAACAAAGAUAAAAA
rnacentral:antisense_RNA from 1 species